GUCUGCCAAGGCUUAUUUGUCUUGGUGGAUUGUGGGUUUCCUGUGUUGCCUACCUAAGCAAUGGUAUUGCCUUGGUUGAUCGUAGUCCCUCUUCUUCUAGUGUCAUACCUAUGACACUGGAUGAACCAUGAAGCGGUUUCUUUGAUCCAUCUUGUCAUCCAAAUGUGUUGAUUUUAUGGCUCAUUGAGCAUCGCUUGGUUUCCUGGAUACAGAACAUGAUUUGAGCAUAUGGGGUCUCAUGGGUUCCUUGUUUUGCUAUCAUUCAGCUUGUGUGUUUCUCUUACAAUGACUGCCUCGCCCGCCUAGGCUCGUACCUGCGUGUGAGGCCAUGUCAAAGGGAAAUGCUCUUCCUGUUUGGUGUGGGCAUGGUGUCUCAUGUGAUCCUUGUUUUGCUCUUAUUUAGCGUUCGCGCUUUCUUCAAAUGACUGCCUCGCUCGCCUAGGCUCGUACCUGCUUGGGAGGCAUGUCAAAGAGGAUUGC
rnacentral:misc_RNA from 1 species